rnacentral:rRNA from 1 species
GACGUAGGGCGCGAGCGUUGUCCGGAAUUAUUGGGCGUAAAGGGCUCGUAGGCGGUUCGUCACGUCGGGAGUGAAAACUCGGGGCUUAACCCCGAGCCUGCUUCCGAUACGGGCAGACUAGAGGUAGGCAGGGGAGAGCGGAACUCCUGGUGUAGCGGUGAAAUGCGCAGAUAUCGGGAGGAACACCGGUGGCGAAGGCGGUUCUCUGGGCCUUACCUGACGCUGAGGAGCGAAAGCGUGGGGAGCGAACAGG